rnacentral:rRNA from 1 species
UGGUAGUCCACGCCCUAAACGAUGUCAACUGGUUGUCGGAUCUAAUUAAGGAUUUGGUAACGUAGCUAACGCGUGAAGUUGACCGCCUGGGGAGUACGGUCGCAAGAUUAAAACUCAAAGGAAUUGACGGGGACCCGCACAAGCGGUGGAUUAUGUGGAUUAAUUCGAUGCAACGCGAAAAACCUUACCUACCCUUGACAUGCUUGGAAUCUAAUGGAGACAUAAGAGUGCCCGAAAGGGAGCCAAGACACAGGUGCUGCAUGGCUGUCGUCAGCUCGUGUCGUGAGAUGUUGGGUUAAGUCCCGCAACGAGCGCAACCCUUGUCACUAAUUGCUAUCAUUUUUAAUGAGCACUUUAGUGAGACUGCCGGUGACAGACCGGAGGAAGGUGGGGAUGAC